rnacentral:rRNA from 1 species
CCUACGGGUGGCAGCAGUGAGGAAUAUUGGUCAAUGGACGAGAGUCUGAACCAGCCAAGUAGCGUGAAGGAUGACUGCCCUAUGGGUUGUAAACUUCUUUUAUAUGGGAAUAAAAUGUUCCACGUGUGGGAUUUUGUAUGUACCUUAUGAAUAAGGAUCGGCUAACUCCGUGCCAGCAGCCGCGGUAAUACGGAGGAUCCGAGCGUUAUCCGGAUUUAUUGGGUUUAAAGGGUGCGUAGGUGGAUUGUUAAGUCAGUUGUGAAAGUUUGCGGCUCAACCGUCAAAUUGCAGUUGACACUGGCAGUCUUGAGUACAGUAGAGGUGGGCGGAAUGCGUGGGGUAGCGGUGAAAUGUUUAGAUAUCACGAAGAACUCCGAUUGCGAAGGCAGUUCACUGGACUGCAACUGACACUGAGGCUCGAAAGUGUGGGUAUCAAACAGGAUUAGAUACCCCUGUAGUC